rnacentral:ribozyme from 1 species
CAGACUACUCGCCCUGUAACGGGAUGGGAUCUGAAGACUCUUGAAGAUUCCAUCCAACUCCUAUUCCGGCACGUCCACGUCGUGCAGGGUGGUAACAUGGGCCCAAGUCCAGCCAUUUGGCAGGAUGAAGGCUCAUGGGUAAGAAGGAGGUG